rnacentral:rRNA from 1 species
UACGUAGGGUGCGAGCGUUAAUCGGAAUUACUGGGCGUAAAGCGUGCGCAGGCGGUGAUGUAAGACAGAUGUGAAAUCCCCGGGCUCAACCUGGGACCUGCAUUUGUGACUGCAUCGCUAGAGUACGGCAGAGGGGGGGAUGGAAUUCCGCGUGUAGCAGUGAAAUGCGUAGAUAUGCGGAGGAACACCGAUGGCGAAGGCAAUCCCCUGGGCCUGUACUGACGCUCAUGCACGAAAGCGUGGGGAGCAAACAGG